rnacentral:misc_RNA from 1 species
GUUGUAAAAGACAUUCUUGUUCAGAUGGGAAUCUACUUCCAAGUACAGGAUGAUUAUUUGGAUUGCUUUGGUGAUCCCGAGACAAUUGGUAAGAUAGGAACAGAUAUAGAAGAUUUUAAGUGUUCAUGGUUGGUCGUGAAGGCUUUAGAACUUUGCAAUGAAGAACAAAAGAAAGUGUUAUAUGAGCACUAUGGGAAAGCUGACCCAGCCAGUGUAGCAAAGGUGAAGGUCCUUUAUAAUGAGCUGAAGCUUCAGGGGGUAUUUACGGAGUAUGAGAAUGAAAGCUAUAAGAAACUAGUAACCUCUAUUGAAGCUCAUCCUAGCAAGCCGG